rnacentral:rRNA from 1 species
AUUGAACGCUGGCGGCAUGCCUUACACAUGCAAGUCGAACGGUAACAGGUCUUCGGAUGCUGACGAGUGGCGAACGGGUGAGUAAUGCAUCGGAACGUGCCCAGUAGUGGGGGAUAGCCCGGCGAAAGCCGGAUUAAUACCGCAUACGACCUGAGGGAGAAAGGGGGGGAUCGCAAGACCUCUCGCUAUUGGAGCGGCCCAUGUAAAAUUAGCUAGUUGGUGGGGUAAAGGCCUACCAAGGCAACGAUCUGUAGUUGGUCUGAGAGGACGACCAGCCACACUGGGACUGAGACACGGCCCAGACUCCUACGGGAGGCAGCAGUGGGGAAUUUUGGACAAUGGGCGCAAGCCUGAUCCAGCAAUGCCGCGUGCAGGAAGAAGGCCUUCGGGUUGUAAACUGCUUUUGUCAGGGAAGAAAUCUUCUGGGUUAAUACCUCGGGAGGAUGACGGUACCUGAAGAAUAAGCACCGGCUAACUACGUGCCAGCCGCCGCAGUAAGAC